CUUCUUUUUCACUGUGUUUCUCAUUUUUUAUUUAGAGUUUUCUCCCAAACUGAUUGGCUUGACUGGCACAAAAGAAGAGAUCGAUCAAGUGGCCAGAGCAUUCAGGGUGUAUUACAGCCCUGGCCCCAAGGACGAAGAUGAGGACUACAUAGUGGAUCAUACAAUCAUCAUGUACUUGAUUGGACCAGACGGUGAGUUUCUAGAUUAUUUCGGCCAGAACAAGAAGAAUGCAGAGAUCGCUGGUUCAAUUGCUGCGCGCAUGAGGGAACACAGGAGAAAGAGCUAGUGGCCAGAGCGGUGCGGCUGUGCAGGGUUCGCCUGCUAACGAGGAAGGAAGCUCUGUCUCCACCCCGGAGCCGGUAUAUACACACUUACACAUGCAGCACGAGAACAGCUGAGUUUUGGACAGGGUGUGUUACCCUUGGGUUCAGCCAGGAUGGAUUCUUGGAACUGUAAAGAUUAGAACCAAAAGCCUCCCAAAGAGUCACCUUGAGACCAGAGGACCAAGUUACCGUGAAGCCAGUGGAAUGGACCUCGGGGAAGGACCCAGCCAGAAAAAGCACAGCCAGCGCGUUUCCCCGUGAGAACAGGGCCCUCUGAUCGGCGUAGCUUCCUCUCCCGUGUCUUGGACCCUUGCUCAGAAAGGCUGUACUGCGUUCCCAGGAAGAGCAUCACUUCCACAGUGCCCUUGCUUUCCUUUUUGAGUUCCUGGUGGCUGAUAACAAUCAGUUUAGGCUUUCUGACAUUCGUAAUUAAUCUUUGCACUUGAAAGCAUAAGUAUGGUCUUCCCUGUUAAUGAAUGAUUGUGUUCCCCUGUCAGCAGGUGCUGAUUUUACCAAUGGAGAGGAUGUUGUUGGGUUGAACCAUUAAAUAAGUUUCCUUAGGGAUCUUUCAUUUGAUUUUUAUCUAAAUCCUGUGCCAGGCUUUCGGGGACCUGCCAGUGGACAUGAGAGGAUGUUGGUUAUGUGAUACAGGGUACUUUCCUGCCUGUGCAGAAUUGCGUUGGGUCUGAAAUAAAAAUGUGCUCAGUUUUGCAGCUUG